CAAGAGUUCACCUCGAAACUUGAAAGCUUUGGCUCAAUUGAUAGGAAACGACUUAUAGAAGACAAUGAUGGAUGCAAUAGAUGUGAUGUGAUGAUAGAGUAUUUGAGAAAAUUUGGCCGAGAUUUUGGGAUGGAAUUUGGAAGAGAAUUUGGGUCAAAACUCUGUUCGAAGGAUAUGGAAGAUAUGAAGAACAUGUUAGAGAGCACAAGGAAGAAAUUGGCUUUUCUAGUUGUACUACUUAUUUGUUCUUGGGUUUACUUUGUCAUAGUUUUAACAGCCUGA